GGAAAGUCGCACGGUACAGGGUGAUAGUCCCGUACACAAAAAUGCAUAUGUUGUGAGUUCGAUGAGUAGGGCGGGACACGUGACAUCCUGUCUGAAUAUGGGGGGACCAUCCUCCAAGGCUAAAUACUCCUGACUGACCGAUAGUGAACCAGUACCGUGAGGGAAAGGCGAAAAGAACCCCGGCGAGGGGAGUGAAAUAGAACCUGAAACCGUGUACGUACAAGCAGUGGGAGCACCUUCGUGGUGUGACUGCGUACCUUUUGUAUAAUGGGUCAGCGACUUAUAUUUUGUAGCAAGGUUAACCGAAUAGGGGAGCCGUAGGGAAACCGAGUCUUAACUGGGCGAAUAGUUGCAAGGUAUAGACCCGAAACCCGGUGAUCUAGCCAUGGGCAGGUUGAAGGUUGGGUAACACUAACUGGAGGACCGAACCGACUAAUGUUGAAAAAUUAGCGGAUGACUUGUGGCUGGGGGUGAAAGGCCAAUCAAACCGGGAGAUAGCUGGUUCUCCCCGAAAGCUAUUUAGGUAGCGCCUCGUGAACUCAUCUUCGGGGGUAGAGCACUGUUUCGGCUAGGGGGUCAUCCCGACUUACCAAACCGAUGCAAACUCCGAAUACCGAAGAAUGUUAUCACGGGAGACACACGGCGGGUGCUAACGUCCGUCGUGAAGAGGGAAACAACCCAGACCGCCAGCUAAGGUCCCAAAGUCAUGGUUAAGUGGGAAACGAUGUGGGAAGGCAUAGACAGCCAGGAUGUUGGCUUAGAAGCAGCCAUCAUUUAAAGAAAGCGUAAUAGCUCACUGGUCGAGUCGGCCUGCGCGGAAGAUGUAACGGGGCUAAACCAUGCACCGAAGCUGCGGCAGCGACACUUAGGUGUUGUUGGGUAGGGGAGCGUUCUGUAAGCCGUUGAAGGUGACCUGUGAGGGUUGCUGGAGGUAUCAGAAGUGCGAAUGCUGACAUAAGUAACGAUAAUGCGGGUGAAAAACCCGCACGCCGGAAGACCAAGGGUUCCUGUCCAACGUUAAUCGGGGCAGGGUGAGUCGACCCCUAAGGCGAGGCUGAAAAGCGUAGUCGAUGGGAAACAGGUUAAUAUUCCUGUACUUGGUGUUACUGCGAAGGGGGGACGGAGAAGGCUAGGCUAGCCGGGCGACGGUUGUCCCGGUUUAAGCAUGUAGGCGGAGUGACUUGGUAAAUCCGGUUGCUUAUCAACGCUGAGGUGUGAUGACGAGCCACUACGGUGGUGAAGUAGUUGAUGCCAAGCUUCCAGGAAAAGCCUCUAAGCAUCAGGUAACAUUAAAUCGUACCCCAAACCGACACAGGUGGUCAGGUAGAGAAUACUCAGGCGCUUGAGAGAACUCGGGUGAAGGAACUAGGCAAAAUGGUGCCGUAACUUCGGGAGAAG
rnacentral:rRNA from 1 species